rnacentral:rRNA from 1 species
UGGGGAAUUUUGGACAAUGGGCGAAAGCCUGAUCCAGCAAUGCCGCGUGUGUGAAGAAGGCCUUCGGGUUGUAAAGCACUUUUGUCCGGAAAGAAAUGGCUCUGGUUAAUACCUGGGGUCGAUGACGGUACCGGAAGAAUAAGGACCGGCUAACUACGUGCCAGCAGCCGCGGUAAUACGUAGGGUCCAAGCGUUAAUCGGAAUUACUGGGCGUAAAGCGUGCGCAGGCGGUUGUGCAAGACCGAUGUGAAAUCCCCGAGCUUAACUUGGGAAUUGCAUUGGUGACUGCACGGCUAGAGUGUGUCAGAGGGGGGUAGAAUUCCACGUGUAGCAGUGAAAUGCGUAGAGAUGUGGAGGAAUACCGAUGGCGAAGGCAGCCCCCUGGGAUAACACUGACGCUCAUGCACGAAAGCGUGGGGAGCAAACAGGAUUAGAUACCCUGGUAGUCCACGCCCUAAACGAUGUCAACUAGUUGUUGGGGAUUCAUUUCCUUAGUAACGUAGCUAACGCGUGAAGUUGACCGCCUGGGGAGUACGGUCGCAAGAUUAAAAGC